GGUUUAACCCAGAAGACGUUAGCUAAAAAGUUUGAGUUUCCCAUACAUUUCAAUGGAGCUUCCAAAGUAAUGAAGAAAAAGAAAAAGGUUUCAGUGUGGAAAAAAGUACACAAAGUCAUUUCUAGAAUGCUCAAAGAAAACGAAAAAUAUAGACUCAGGCUGAAAUGCCAACGAUUAGCUGGUGAAAACUGAGAUUACACAAGAUGAAUCUUCUCAUCGUCUUCUGUUAUAAUUUAAUUACGACGAGACUAGGAUUUGUGGCAGCGUGUUCUUCUGUGACUGUUCAGCGAAUCUGCCUAUUUCCCGUGGAAGGACACGGUGCCCGGGCAGAUGGCCUAGGCCUUGCCCGCCACGCAGUGUCCAAAGCCCCCGGCAGGGCGGGGCCUGCACUGUGGGAAUGUGCUGGGUAACUUUGAGGCUGCUGAAUUCUUGGGGAAAGCUUCCAGAUUUAGCGUAUGAAGCUCAAAUCCUUGUAAAAUGAGACAUUUACUUGUUUAUGCUGUAAUUUGUGCUGCGCAAAGUUUUGUGGUGAAUGGGAAUGUUCAUUUCAAUGUCAGCUUUUUUUAUAUAACUUACAGUACUUGACAUAGUCAGGUAAUCUGUUUUAAUGAUUGAAUGUGUCAGUAUUUAUUAGAUUUAAAACUAAGUCAUGCUGGAUCCAGACUCAGUGUGCCUCACUGUUCCAGAGCCCUGGGUAGUGGAGACUCCUAGGAAAAGAAAUGUUCUCGAUGGGUGCUCUACAUCUUUUCAUUGUUAUCUAAACAUUUCUGGUGAAAAUGUAUUA